rnacentral:tRNA from 1 species
AGGAUUAUAUUUAAUUAUAAUACUUGAAUUGCAAUCAAGAGGUGUUGGAAAAACUAAUCUU